rnacentral:lncRNA from 1 species
CAUGAGAUAUGGAAGAUGCUCAACAAGUAGGGAUGUGAGGAAAAAAAGAAUGCAUCUCAAAAUAUGUGCCUGGCUCUAAGCCUAUAUCAUGAACAGUUGGGAAGUAGCACGUUUAGCAGUGGACAGAAAUCUCUUAGGGACAUGGCCAAUGUGAGCUCACAGAUGUUCAUGUGAAGUCAGCUCAUGAGUUUUCUUCCAAAGUCCUCAGUUCACCUUUAGGGGACAGCCUGCUCAGCCCCUACCCCCUACGACCCCUUAUGAGAGGACAGUGAGCAAAAGAGGAUCCUUCCUGAUGCCAAGGGUGUAUGAUGUUCCAUCACAAAAGGUUCUUAUGAUGCAACCUUCACAGAGAAAGUACCUGAGAGCCUUUUGUGCUUCUGUGGAUUUACUUGCAAUGGAUCUCUUAUGCAAAAUACCUUUCCCUUCUCUGCCAUUUAAGGACAAACACAAAUAUAUUCCUUAGGCCUAUCAUCACAAUGAGCUGCGGUUUGCAGGUUCAUUUGGUUGUCAUGCUCACCAAAAGCACACAGGUACUCAGACAAAUGUGCUGGAGGAAUCACUAUGUGAACUAUUGAAGGGUUUCUCGGUGUAGAUAUGGCUGUCCUGGAACUCACUCUAUAGAUCGAGCUGUCCUUAAAUUCAGAGAUCUACCUGCUUCUGCCCCUGAAGAGAGAGCACCUUGGUUCUUCGUUGGGGAAUUGCUAUUCUCUAUUCUCUGGUGUCUGCUGUUUUAAUGGGCCCAUCCGUCGAGGUGUUCCUUCUCUGUUAGUCAAGGAGCAGCCACGUGAUCCCAGCUAUGACAAUCCAAAUCUAUCAUCCGGGGAUUUAAUUCUCAGUGUUAGGAGCUCCUCCAGGCAAUCAGGAAGAUACAGGCUUUUACUCAACAUGCUAACCAUGGCACGACCUGAUUUCUGAUGGCUAUCAACAUAACUUCGUUCCCUUUUGCUUUUCUACUUGGUCCUCUUCACCAGCUGACCUCAUCAAUUUAUCCAACAACACAUGCUGAGGACCUACUAAGCACGGGGUCUGUGGACAUAAAAUGGAAUUGGACAUGAAAUACACCCUGCAGAGCAGAUGGACACAUAAGCAACAUGGCAAUGAGAAGUGACAAGCACACUACUACAACCCAGCUGGCACAGAUGGUGGAGAUUUGAUAGGCUUGGGGCAUGACAAUCUGGGACUUGUUCAGAUGUGAUGAGCUAUGACAAGUGGUGGCUUGCAUCACAACCCAACAUCAGUGUGUACAGGACAUCUCUUGCGGAGAAAUAUCUACCUUGAUACCCAAAAUUGUAUCAUUUAUUCCAAGCCUGAGGCAAGAGCAGUGGGAAGAAAUCAAGGGAACAUCACAGAAGAUGGGACAGAAGAACUUUAGGAUGCAACAGAUAAAGAGGAUUGCCAUGAAAUAAUGUCUUCUGGAUAUGACAGGUCUGUUGCAAUCAUGAGCGCACAGCUGUUGUGACUACCUUCAUAAGAGAUGGAAGGAGUUGGGGGAGAGAUAAAAGAAGAGAGAGGACUAGUUGGGGACAGGAUUAUGGCAGGAGAGUCAAAGGGGACAACAGAAGUGACUGUGACUUCAGUAAGGUUGAUACAAGUACAAAGUAACC